rnacentral:rRNA from 1 species
UACGUAGGGGGCAAGCGUUGUCCGGAUUUACUGGGUGUAAAGGGUGCUCAGGUGGCUUGGAAAGUCAGUGGUGAAAUCUGAGAGCUUAACUCUCAAACUGCCAUUGAUACUUCUUAGCUUGAGUACGGAAGAGGCUGAUGGAAUUUCAGGUGUAGCAGUGAAAUGCGUAGAUAUCUGGAGGAACACCGGUGGCGAAGGCGGCAUCC